rnacentral:rRNA from 1 species
AUUGAACGCUGGCGGCAGGCCUAACACAUGCAAGUCGAGCGGCAGCGGGAAAGUAGCUUGCUACUUUUGCCGGCGAGCGGCGGACGGGUGAGUAAUGCCUGGGAAAUUGCCCAGUCGAGGGGGAUAACAGUUGGAAACGACUGCUAAUACCGCAUACGCCCUACGGGGGAAAGCAGGGGACCUUCGGGCCUUGCGCGAUUGGAUAUGCCCGGGUGGGAUUAGCUAGUUGGUGAGGUAAUGGCUCACCAAGGCGACGAUCCCUAGCUGGUCUGAGAGGAUGAUCAGCCACACUGGAACUGAGACACGGUCCAGACUCCUACGGGAGGCAGCAGUGGGGAAUAUUGCACAAUGGGGGAAACCCUGAUGCAGCCAUGCCGCGUGUGUGAAGAAGGCCUUCGGGUUGUAAAGCACUUUCAGCGAGGAGGAGAGGUUGAUGCCUAAUACGUAUCAACUGUGACGUUACUCGCAGAAGAAGCACCGGCUAACUCCGUGCCAGCCGCCGCGGUAACAC